rnacentral:rRNA from 1 species
GAUGAACGCUGGCGGCGUGCUUAACACAUGCAAGUCGAGCGAGAAGUUUUGAACAGCUUCUUCGGAUGAAAUUUAAAAUGGAAAGCGGCGGACGGGUGAGUAACGCGUAGGCAACCUGCCCCAUACAAAGGGAUAGCAUUUGGAAACGAAUAUUAAUACCUUAUGAAACUUAACUAGUGCAUGCUAGGUAGGUCAAAGAUUUAUCGGUAUGGGAUGGGCCUGCGUCUGAUUAGCUAGUUGGUGAGGUAACGGCUCACCAAGGCGACGAUCAGUAGCCGACCUGAGAGGGUGAACGGCCACAUUGGAACUGAGGCACGGUCCAAACUCCUACGGGAGGCAGCAGUGGGGAAUAUUGCACAAUGGGGGAAACCCUGAUGCAGCAACGCCGCGUGAACGAUGAAGGCCUUUGGGUCGUAAAGUUCUGUUCUAGGUGAUGAAAACUGACAGUAACCUAGGAGAAAGCCCCGGCUAACUCCGUG